rnacentral:rRNA from 1 species
UACGUAGGGUGCGAGCGUUGCCCGGAUUUAUUGGGCGUAAAGGGCGCGUAGGCGGUCACGCACGUCCGUUGUGAAAUCGCUCGGCUCAACUGGGCGGGGUCAGCGGAUACGGCGUGGCUGGAGCAAGCUAGGGGGCAAUGGAAUUCCCGGUGUAGUGGUGGAAUGCGUAGAUAUCGGGAGGAACACCAGUGGCGAAGGCGGUUGCCUGGAGCUUUGCUGACGCUGAUGCGCGAAAGCGUGGGGAGCGAGCCGG